rnacentral:rRNA from 1 species
UACGUAGGGACCGAGCGUUGUCCGGAUUCAUUGGGCGUAAAGAGCUCGUAGGCGGCCACUCAAGUCGAAUGUGAAAACUCGGGGCUUAACCCCGAGCCUGCAGUGGAUACGGGCAGACUAGAGGUAGGUAGGGGAGAAUGGAAUUCCCGGUGUAGCGGUGAAAUGCGCAGAUAUCGGGAGGAACACCGGUGGCGAAGGCGGUUCUCUGGGCCUUACCUGACGCUGAGGAGCGAAAGCGUGGGGAGCGAACAGG